ensembl:lncRNA
AGCUGCUCAGAUGAAGUAACUGGCCGCGUCAGCAAGGCUCGGUGUUGGUUUGUUGUUGUUGUUGUUGUCGUUGCUGCUGAAUUCCAUGGUGCUUCUUCCUGUGGAGCUGGGAAGUAAACCUUUUCAAAUCGUGGAACUUCUCUGGCUUUGGUGCCAUUAACUGGACCCUGACGAAUUCAUUCUCGACGCGACAAUGGUUUCCUAUGGAGACGAAGGGAUGGCGAUUGGACGAGCGAGGGUUAAAAGCGAGCGCUGCAGGAGGAGAGAGAGAGUCACUGGAGGACUUGCUAAUUAGGCAGCGGCAACACGAGCCUCAUCUGCAUGCGGGGUAUGCAAAUUGACCGGCUGGCUCUUUCUUUUUGUCCCGGAUCAGAAGGCGAGAGCUGCAGAGAAGAAUUAAGAGCCAUUAUUCUACCCAAGGAGAGGCUGAUGUAUGCAGAAGAGGGGGAUGAGGAUGAGAGGAAAGAACACUUUUACCACAGAGAUGUACAAUGGACUCCACUGGAAAGGAGAGUCAAAUACAAUCACACAAACGCACUCUUAUUCUCUCGCACAGCCUGGAAGAUCCUUCUACAUUUGAGGUGGAAAUUGCGAAAGAGAAAACGGCAAUCACGCACCUUUAUUUGCCGUUAUGCCUAUCUCCACAUAUCGAUAGGCUGCUUUGUGGAUGAUAAUUACCUUUUGGAAUAUCGAAUCCCGAAAACGAGCCACGGAAACGAAGGAACAAGAAGAAAGGACAGAAAAAAGAGCGGAGGUAUGCAAAGGCGCUAAUGAUAUUCACAGCGCCGCGUGUGUCAUCUGCAUGAUGACAACGGCCAAUUAUAAUGAACCAUUGGCUCUCUGACAUAGAUAAGUAGGAGAGAAAAGGAUAUGGGUGAAAAGGAGCGCGAAAAAAAAAAAAAAACUUCUGCGAUCCUUCUUAAUUUGCCGCUGAUAUUUUCAGAUUUCGUGUCGUGUGGAUUUACAGUGACGAUACAUCUUGAAAAAAAAAAGACAACCUCUCCUCGCACUGUCCCAUAAAUGGAAUAAAAAGGCCACAGAAGAUGAGGGCGUCCCUCCACGCAGGAUUUAUGGCUGCUCGUGGUGGUAUUCCAUCGCCAUGUUGUUGGUCAACGGGACUGGUUCUGAUGGCACCUGUUCCCGUGCCAACCAUCGCUCUGACGAGCCAAAGAAUCUGUUGGAAAUCACACCCACUAGGACGAGCGUACACACACACACACACACACACACACGGCGGCAUCUUUCUGUCGACUCCCCUUCCUCAUCACACUACAAAAUGCCUCCCCAUCACCGUUUUGCAUAUUCGCAUGGCGCCCCGCCUGCCACAAAGGACUAAACAGCCGUAUGCAAAACAGUCUGGUAUCCCCACUUACAUAGCGAUGAGACGAACAGCGUGAGAAAGAGGGGGCGGGAGCUGGGCGG